AUCCAGCUGACGAGUGCCAGAUAGGACGAAACGCGCGUCCUGGAU
rnacentral:hammerhead_ribozyme from 1 species